rnacentral:rRNA from 1 species
GACGAACGCUGGCGGCGUGCCUAAUACAUGCAAGUCGAACGCUGAAGGAGGAGCUUGCUCUUCUGGACGAGUUGCGAACGGGUGAGUAACGCGUAGGUAACCUGCCUGGUAGCGGGGGAUAACUAUUGGAAACGACAGCUAAUACCGCAUAACAGUAGAUGUUGCAUGACAUUUACUUAAAAGGUGCAAUUGCAUCACUACCAGAUGGACCUGCGUUGUAUUAGCUAGUUGGUGGGGUAACGGCUCACCAAGGCGACGAUACAUAGCCGACCUGAGAGGGUGAUCGGCCACACUGGGACUGAGACACGGCCCAGACUCCUACGGGAGGCAGCAGUAGGGAAUCUUCGGCAAUGGACGGAAGUCUGACCGAGCAACGCCGCGUGAGUGAAGAAGGUUUUCGGAUCGUAAAGCUCUGUUGUAAGAGAAGAACGAGUGUGAGAGUGGAAAGUUCACACUGUGACGGUAUCUUACCAGAAAGGGACGGCUAACUACGUG